rnacentral:tRNA from 1 species
GGCUAUGUAGCUCAGUUGGUUAGAGCACACGCUUGAUAAGCGUGGGGUCACAAGUUCAAGUCUCGUCAUAGCCACCA